rnacentral:rRNA from 1 species
GAUGAACGCUAGCGGCAGGCUUAAUACAUGCAAGUCGUGGGGCAGCAUGAGUGUAGCAAUACAUUUGAUGGCGACCGGCAAACGGGUGCGGAACACGUACACAACCUUCCUAUAAGUGGGGAAUAGCCCAGAGAAAUUUGGAUUAAUACCCCGUAACAUAAUGAUGUGGCAUCACAUUAUUAUUAUAGCUUCGGCGCUUAUUGAUGGGUGUGCGGCUGAUUAGAUGGUUGGCGGGGUAACGGCCCACCAAGUCUACGAUCAGUAGCUGAUGUGAGAGCAUGAUCAGCCACACGGGCACUGAGACACGGGCCCGACUCCUACGGGAGGCAGCAGUAAGGAAUAUUGGUCAAUGGACGCAAGUCUGAACCAGCCAUGCCGCGUGAAGGAUUAAGGUCCUCUGGAUUGUAAACUUCUUUUAUCUGGGACGAAAGAAGGCGAUUCUUCGUCACUUGACGGUACCAGAUGAAUAAGCACCGGCUAACUCCGUGCCAGCCGCCGCGGUAACAC